AGAUUUUCUGAAGGGAAUGCUUUUGCAGCAUCGCCAUCCAUGAUGGGGUUACCAAUGAACUGUCUGGAUCAAACAUGGGGCUUACCUGUAAUGGGCCGAGCAUUGUAGAAUACCUCUCUAUUUUGGAAUCUUUAUCUAUCAUUUGCGGGAGUAGCACAUUUUCCCAUAUUUGCAGAUUGUCAAUUCAGUUGUGAUGAACCAUGUCACCAUUGAAGAUGGGUGUUUGGUCCAGGGUUCUGUUGUUUGCAGUAAUGUGCAUCUACAAGACCAUGUGGUUCUGAAGGACUGUCAGGUGGGAGCGGGUUUCGUAGUCACUGCCGGAAGCGACCAUAAUUCAGAGUCCUUAGCAAGAAAGGAGAAGUCCUCAACUCAGUAAAUUAUUUCUUUGGUUUGUAGGCUUCUUUCUCUAAUGGCAUUAAGCCUUUGAAAAUGUUGAAAAAGAAGAUGAAAAAAAAAAUCAUCUUUAGAUCUUUACCUACUCAGCAAUUGCUUGCUUCUGUCAUAGAUUUCGUGGGCUAGACAUCUUUUCAUUUAUUGCUUGAAAAGCGACUCUUAAAUUUUGGUAGGUAUGGAAACAGGUUGGAAAGUUUGAAGAAGCCACAUUCUUUUUAAGUAGGGGAUUGUAUCUGUUACUCUGGAUUAUGUUCACAUAUUGUUGAUUGUAAGACCUUGAUUUUCUUUAAUCAUAUUAUUGUAGUUGAGUUCUUGUUG